GCGAUAAACCAGAUGAGAAAUCUGGUCGCCGUAAGCCCAAGGUUUCCUGGGGUAGGAUAAUCCGCCCAGGGUUAGUCGAUGCCUAAGCCGAGGCCGUAAGGCGUAGGUGAUGGAAAACAGGUUAAUAUUCCUGUACUAUCGAGGAAGACGAUGAAAUAAGCGGGGACAAAGAAGGAUAGGCCAAGCAUGGUGCAUGGAUCCAUGUUCAAGCCCGUAGGCUGUUUUGCUAGGACUCGAGAGAGACAAACGGCGAAACAAUAAGCUGAGAGGUGAUGAGGUUGAGCUUCGGCUCAAUAACUUGGUGAUUCCAAGCUUUCAAGAAAAGCCGCGUGUGGAGUCUCUUUGAUAAUCGUACUGUAAACCGACUCAGGUGGGCAGGAUGAGUAUUCUAAGGCGCGUGAGAGAACCCUGGUUAAGGAACUCGGCAAAUUGACACCGUAACUUCGGGAGAAGGUGUGCCUUUUUAUGUGAUGCAGCUUGCCUGCUAAGCGUGAGAAGGUUGCAGAGAAAUGGGAGUUGUGACUGUU
rnacentral:rRNA from 1 species